UAUUUUUAGAAAAAAUAAGUAUAUUCCUUUAUUUAUUAGAGCAGAAGCCAGAGAGCCGUGAAGUUUUAAGAUGGCGGCCUUCAGAGCGUUAUUGAAUAGAGCAUUUAUACACUAUACUUCGAUAGAAGACAGGCAGCAUGAGAUACACUGGAUAACACAACAAGCACUAAAACAUGGAUAUAAGAUGAGUAUGGUUAAUAAGCUUCUUAAGGAGAUUAACAGAACUAAACAUGCUGACGAUAGUAAUAGAAAAUCAGAAGAUAAGCCACCAUACAUUGGACAUUAAUUCCAUCUCGUUGAAGUUUAAAAGGAAACUAGAAAAACUCUCUGGCCAAAAAAAUCGUCUUUAACAGAAGAAAUACGCUGUUCAACCAUAUUAGGAA
rnacentral:lncRNA from 1 species